CGAGUGGCGGACGGGUGAGUAAUACUUAGGAACAUGCCUUUGGGUGGGGGAUAACCAUUGGAAACGAUGGCUAAUACCGCAUGACGUCUACGGACCAAAGGGGGCUUCGGCUCCCGCCCAGAGAGUGGCCUAAGCGAGAUUAGCUUGUUGGUGAGGUAAAGGCUCACCAAGGCGACGAUCCGUAGCUGGUCUGAGAGGACGAUCAGCCACACUGGGACUGAGACACGGCCCAG
rnacentral:rRNA from 1 species